rnacentral:tRNA from 2 species
UGGGGUAUCGUCCAAGGGUUAGGACACGGGUUUUUGGUGCCUGGAAUGUGGGUUCGAAUCCUACUACCCCAGCCA